rnacentral:lncRNA from 1 species
UGCAACUAAAACAGUUUACUUAGUUUGUAAUGCUUUGUUUACCAUUUAAGGAGUUUCUGGAGUUUGGGGGUCCUGAUAUAAAUAGUAAAAAUCAGGGGCCUUAUUGAGUGCUUCUUAAACCCAAUUAUUUAACUCUGGUAGCUAGUUCACAUUAACGUUCACAGCUAUGAGAUUUCUGUAUUUAUAUCUUGUUACCUUGCUUCAGUUACAUUAAGCAAGACUUAAUAUUUACUGUGAUCAUGUGUCAUUGUUUCUAUUUGGCUUCUUUGGAAUCAUUUUAAAGGGGAAACUGUAUGGAUGGCAAAGAGUAAUUUGAUACUGUAUUUGAUCUUGUUGAUUAUUCCUAUUAUCUUUUAUCUGAACUGAUGUUCAUUUUGAUGACCCUGACAUAAUGACUGUUUCAGACUAAUUGUCAACGUUUAAAAUAUUGGAUUCUGCUUUUAUAUGAGGACUUCGAGUCAAAUAUCAAUUUUUAAAAAGAACUUGGGACUUUAUUUGCUAAUCUUUUUCUUAAAAUGCUGGAAAACUAGGCUGAAUAUUCCUAGCCUUUUUGAAUUUU